UAUUAACUAAAUAUAAACAUGGGUCGCUUAGAGAUUCACAAAAAAGCUGUACUAACCGGUAAAAGUCAUUUUAGUAGCAGCAGCUAGUCGCCUUACUAAUUACUAACUAAAGAGAGAUCGGUAUCGUUUGUAACUAAGCAUUCAAUCAGAAUCCCCCGGUCACACUCUGUGUUCCGCUGUCUUGUAUUUCCCAAGUCCCGUAUUUCUUUAGAUUGACAGCAGCAUCCCUAUUCCUACUAAUAGUAAUUGUUCUGUUAUCAGUGCAUUAUAUUCUAAUUAGUUCAAUGUGUUAGCUGUGAAAGUUUAUUCCUUUGCUCUUUUGACGCUUAAUUCAAAACAACGUGUCUGCGAAUCGGUCCUUGUUUAAUGAUUUCAUGGGUAGGAGCCCAAAUUGUUGGUCACGAUGUAGGGACUCGAGUUGUCCGUCUUUUACAGCUUGUUAGUCUUUGAAGGGAUUAGCCUUUGUUGUGUCGUAAUUGUUAAUGUUACUGGUUACAUUUCCUUAUUGUUGCGCGUGUGUUUACCCGUGUCUUGUGUGUACCCUGUCCGAUCCUCGUGUGUAAUUAGCUUAUGUAAAUCUCCCAUCAUGUGCGCGUCUUACAGUUCGGCGUCUGACAAUGUUGUGUUUCCUGUAUGUAAUUGGUCGGAUGUGCUUUGCGUGUCUGAUGUAGUUUUUUUUUCUUGGCGGCUAAUAUAGAGCGUGUUCUCUCUGGCCAGUGACUCUUUGUGUUCCUCUCUUUUUCUGCGAUGCCUCGGUAUCAGAACCAAGGCAAAGCAAAAAAACAAAACAGAAUACAAGUGAGGAAACAUAGGAACUAGAAAUACAAAUGAAACACUAGGAAAACACGCUUAUUUUAAUUAUUUUAAUUUAUUUUAUAUUACCAUUCUUCAUAUUAGGUAUUUCCUUUUUGAUUAAGCUUGCAUUAUGUAAUUUCAACUGCACGGUGUAUUUUUAUUAAUAAGCACAUUCUGAGUUUUUGCAAUAUUGUUUAUUUAUUACGAAUGCUUUUUUGUAAAGCAUUUUGUAAUGCAGUAUUUCUACAACUUCUACAAUGUGCACCCCACCUAGGUCAUUCUGGUCUCAGGUCAAUCAUGUGUGGAAGAAAUUUCUCGAAGUCCGAUGUUUAAGUGUUUGACAGAACUUUAUUAUUCGAUGAGCUCAAAGGGAACAGACACUCAGCAAUCAUGCGUCUCGUGUUCUGCUCCCCGAACUACAAGUGCAUACAUCUCUUAUAGCCAAAAAUGCCGUCAUCAGAUAGUUCAAAGAAAAGGAGAAGGUGUCUGUAGACACCAGGCACUUCUGUUUAUUGAGGCUUGCUUAUCAGCACAGAAAUUCCUCUGCAGUUUCAUACUGAGUCGAGUUAAAUUUAUCCAAUUACCCAAUUACUUUUAUCUCACUUCCAGGUCAUGCUGACCCAGGCCCUUGCUGAGCAAGCUACAUUAUGGCAAACGUUAGUUCCUUCAUAGAAAAUAGAAAUCCCUUUACUUACAGUAAGCAAGCUUGCAUUAGUACAUUGUGCUUAAUACAUCAGACUGAUUCAAGUGAGGUUAUAUUGUUUCAAUCAUUAUAGGUGUCAUGCCCUGCUCGUCGGCUCCUCCUGUGUGCCACGCCCCCUGCUUACCCACGUGUGUUUCCCGGAUUGUACCCAGCUGUGUCUGCUUAUUUUCAAUCAGUCCUGUGUAUUUCAGUCCGUGUCUUACCCAAGUCCUUUGUCCGUCAUUGAUGUCAGUCUGCGUCCAAUGUUCCCGGCUCCCCGAAGCCCGAAUAAACCCCGUACUUUGCCCCGAGUUCUGCUUGUCUGCCUGUCCUUGCCCGCCUGCCCGCACGAUCGCCGCUCUGCCCGCGAUCUCCCGUGACAAUAGGUAAAUCAACAACACAUUUUAAUCUCAAUUGUUAAUUACUGAUUAGGUAAUGCAUUUGCAUAAUCAUCUAUAUUCCAUUAUUGAUUACAGAUUAGCAUAAUCAAGAAUUUUCUAUCACAAUCUUUGUGAGGAUGAAUUGUUACUAAUGGUGUGCAGACUGACUAACAUGUCUGUAGGUGGUUUUUCAUUGCAGCGUAGGCCAGUGUUACAGUUGUACUCAAUUAUAUCUGUUCCAGUGCUGCAUCCAUCCAUUGUCUGAAACUGCUUGUCUAACUCAGGGUCCCUAUGGGCGCAAGGCAGGGAACGUCCCAUGACAGGGUGCCAACCCAUUGCAGGACACGCUCACACUCCAUUCCCUCGCACAAGCACACCUACCGGCAAUUUGACAACUCCAAUUAGCCUCAGCAUGUUUUUGGACUGUGGGGGGAAAUCAGAGUCCCUGGAGGGAAACCCACAAUGACACAGGGGGAGCAUGCAAACUCCAUACACAAGGAACUCCAGCGAAGACUUGAGUACACGUGCCAGAGGAGUGAGGCGACAGUGCAAACCACUGCACCACCAUGCCACCCUGAUACAAUAGAUACAUUAAAAUAUGUUAAUAAAAUCAUUUAUCUCACCUGUUCACUAUCAGUGCCCUGGGAUGUGAACACUAAUUCAUUGUUCUCCAUCUAAUCAUUUUCUCUGUAGAAUAUCUUUCAUAAUUUAUAUUUCAGUUUUAAGAGUGACCUUUUCUUAGUCUUUGUUGACUAACAGAACACUGCUUUUUAUUAACUAUCAUUUCUCCUGUUUCCACUGCUCUCCUUUUCUCUGCACAUGAUGAAGAAGGAGGGGAUAAUGAAAAACGGAGGUGGGAGCAGGUUCUGGAUGCUGUACUGAAAGCUGGGAUUGGUGUGUUUUACCUGAUUUGCACCAUCAUCACCAUUCAGCUGCACUGGACCUCCUGUAGAGAGCGGGAACCAAUCAGAGAGAAGCAGAGGGUCUCCCUGGAUCAGAGGAAGCUGGCAGAGGAGAUGACCUUCGUGGAGCAGAAUGAGUCAGACGAGCUGUAAAAUAAACGGUUAUGCUAACUGCAGUAAGGCCUCUCUCACUCGGCCCUGCUCAGUCUGUACAGUCAUAGCAUGAGAGUCAGUUAAACACAGAGGGGAUGAUUAUCUGCUGGCAACCUGUACAACCACGUAUUGGCCACUUAUUCACAAGUGCUUUGCUGCCACCUGCUGGUUAAUGUUUAAUAAUCGUUAUCUUGUGAAGGUAAGACUGGUUUUUAUUAAAUUGUCUCUUGAUUCUGAAAAAAUAUGGUACUAUGCAAAAGUCUUGGGCCAUCAAAGAAAACGUUUAAUGCUAUUUAAUUGGGUUGUGUAUAUUUGCUCAGAACAAAAACACAAUUAUCAUAAAAAUAUAUGCAAAUUAAAAGUGACACAGUAAAAAUUAACAAGAAUUUCUUCUUUUCUCCAUAAAGUUACUGAUGCCUUGUUGGAUCGCUAGAUGAACCACGCUUUGGAUCCUAAACCUCUCCUCAGGGGCAUCCCAGCCAUUCCAUGUAUUUGUUAAAUUCUGCCACCAGCUCACUUAAUUAAUUAAUUUAAUUAAACAAAUGUUAAUGAUGCAUUGAUUAGCCAUAGGAGUUGUGUUAUAAAAAUAUAUAGGUCUAUUGGAUGGUUGGUGCAAAUGUUUUACUAACUUUAGAAGAGAUUUUGAAAUGACUGGGCUGCCACACUUUGACGGACAAAAUAUUAUAAUUCCAGACCAAGAUGAAGAUCAUUUGAACAUCAUUUUCUUUGACAGCCCAAGACUUUUGUACAGUUUUGUAUGUGUCUUUUAUACUGGUCAUUAUUUGUUUAAAUACAUGAUUAAUAAAUUGAUACUUUACAAAACA